rnacentral:snRNA from 1 species
GGAUAUGAGGGCGAUCUGGCUGCGACAUCUGUCACCCCAUUGAUCGCCAGGGUUGAUUCGGCUGAUCUGUCUGGCUAGGCGGGUGUCCCCUUCCUCCCUCACCGCUCCAUGUGCGUCCCUCCCGAAGCUGCGCGCUCGGUCGAAGAGGACGACCAUCCCCGCUAGAGGAGGACCGGUCUUCGGUCAAGGGUAUACGAGUAGCUGCGCUCCCCUGCUAGAACCUCCAAACAAGCUCUCAAGGAAAGUCAGAGUUAGAGAGAGGGAGCAAUAGAGAUGUUCCGUCUACUGGUUCACUCCCCAAAUGGCUGCAACAGUCAGAGCUGUGU